AUUGAACGCUGGCGGCAGGCUUAACACAUGCAAGUCGAGCGAGCGGCGGACGGGUGAGUAAUGUCUGGGAAACUGCCUGAUGGAGGGGGAUAACUAAUGGAAACGGUAGCUAAUACCGCAUACCAUCAGAUGUGCCCAGAUGGGCUUAGCUAGUAGGUGGGGUAAUGGCUCACCUGGGCGCCGAUCCCUAGCUGGUCGGAGAGGAUGACCAGCCACACUGGAACUGAGACACGGUCCAGACUCCUACGGGAGGUAGCAGUGGGGAAUAUUGCACAAUGGGCGAAAGCCUGAUGCAGCCAUGCCGCGUGUGUGAAGAAGGCCUUCGGGUUGGAAAGUACUUUCAGCGAGGAGGCGUUACUCGCAGAAGAAGCACCGGCUAACGCCGGGCCAGCCGCCGCGGUAAUUC
rnacentral:rRNA from 1 species